rnacentral:snoRNA from 1 species
CCCGCCACUGUUCUUGCCUGCUUCUCGCCUGUGGCUUGGACAUUCCAGUGGUGAGCUAAGAGCGAAGCCCCAUUCUAGGAAACAGGCUUGCCCUCUCCGUGGGUAACUCUGUGCCGAUGAUUGGGAACAAGC